GGCCAUAUUACAUUGAAACACUGUUUCUCAUAUGAUCACUGAAGUUAAGCAAUGCUGAGCCUGGUCAGUACCUAGAUGGGUGACUGUUUGGAAAUACCAGGU